CCUACGGGAGGCAGCAGUGAGGAAUAUUGGUCAAUGGGAGGAAUCCUGAACCAGCCAUGCAGCGUGCAGGACGACGGCUCUACGCGUUGUAAACUGCUUUUAUACCGGGGUAAAAUGCUCUACGAGUAGGGUUUUGUAAGUACGGUAUGAAUACGGAUCGGCUAACUCCGUGCCAGCAGCCGCGGUAAUACGGAGGAUCCGAGCGUUGUCCGGAUUUGUUGGGUUUAAAGGGUGCGUAGGUUGUUUUAUAAGUUAGUGGUGAAAUAGCGCGGCUCAACAGCGGGGGUUCCGCUGAUACUGGAGGACUAGAGAUCGGAUGCAGCAGGCGGAAUGUGUAGUGUAGCGGUGAAAUGCGUAGAUAUUAGGAGGAACACCAGUGGCGAAGGCAGCUUACGGGACUGUAACUGACGUUGAGGCUCGAAAGUGUGGGUAUCAAACAGGAUUAGAUACCCGAGUAGUC
rnacentral:rRNA from 1 species